CUCCUGAGGAUGCUCCGGUUUCGGGGUCAUUAUAUAAUCAUGAUGAACUUCCGCAAAGUAACGCCUGCUUCUAUCCAAUAUUUGUAGUUUUGUAGGCUUAUAUGGAUCUACUAAACCGAUUUUGAACCGAUUGUCGUCUGUCCACCUAAGGUUUGACUAUCACAGCGCUUUCCUAUUAUCCUAGCACCUAAAGAUUUUUACGUCAAUCGGCGGCUCUUCAAACUAUGUAACGCUUCAGCUUCGCGACUCCAUGAGUUGGGUCGUUAAUUUUGUUUCUUCUAAGGACUCUGAGCUUUCUCACUACAGUUAUAAUAUUAGUCAGGAUUUGCAAAGAUUCAAUCAGACAAAGUAACUUUGGCUAUCUGGUAUGUAGAUGGAUUCCCAGAAGAUCCAUAUUGGUUACAAAAUUAUAAUAAAAAAUAAUGGUCAUGGUGUUAAUGUUUUAAGACAAUGCAAUUAAUCAUUCACAUUAAAUCUGGUGUCUUUAAGUGGUUUUAUAUACAGGGUGUAUUUUUUAUUAUGGGUAAGAAGGAGUCGUGUUAGUUAUUUUGUAGAUUUGUCUCUAAAGAUUAUGUUUUCAAGAGUGUUGACAUAAUAUGUAAUUUGCAAGGAAUAUCGUAUUGAAAUUGCAUCAUCAUCUCCUGAAAAUUCUUCUGCUGAAGUGAAACAUGUACAUUGUACACUGUACUGUACUAAAUUAUAAAAAAAAAAUAAACUGUGAACUUUUACUAAGUAGCUUCAUCAUCAUCAUCAUUCAUCAUUUUAAAUUGUAUUAUGGUUUAAGUUUACCAACAAUUUUUUUCCUGUACAGGACAUUCAUCAUCAUUCAUAAUAUAAUUAUAAUGAUAACGAGAUACCUUUAGUAAUCUGCUACUCAAAUGGAAACACCCUGUACAUCAAUAUGAUCAAUCACAUUACAAUGAGUCCAAUAAAAAACAGAACAUCUUUUAAUAGAAAUGUUAUUAAUAAAUAAUAAUAAAUCAUUCUAACCAUAACCGCCUUGGUUCAGUUGUUAGUCAAUGUGCCUUGAGUGGUUAGUCAAUCUGAUAUGAGUUCGAAUCCUGGGCUAUGAAAUAUUGAGCUUAUUUUGUCCCAAGGUAUUCUCUGGGGCAAUUUGGAUAUUAAAACUCUCUGCCACGCGGUGGACCAGUAUCCGUGUUUUUUUUUUUAUAUUUAUGUAUUUAAUAACGUAACUAAGACUUCCUUUUCUCUUUAAUCUAUAGUAAUAUUAUAAAGCUGAGGAGUUUGUUUGGUUGAACGCGCUAAUCUCAGGAUCUACUGGUCCGAUUUGAAAAACUCUUUCAGUGUUACAUAGCCUAUUUAUCAAGGAAGGCUAUAGGCUAUAUAUUAUCUCCGUAUUCUUACGGGAACGGGAACCAGGCGGGUGAAACCGCGCGGCGUCAGCUAGUUAGUAAAUAAAGCGGAAAGCCAGCACUAGGAUUUAGUACAUCAAUAGUGCAACGAGCUUAAAUUGAACCUAGGACAUAUCUAAUUACAAUACGUCAACUCAUCCUUUAUAUAUAUAUAUAUAUUAUAUCCAUUAUAUUUCAUUUCACGUUUGAUAUUAAAGAUUUUUUUAUUUUUUUGUUUGUUGUAGAGACGUACGUAAGAAAUACCUAUUCAAUCUUUUGUUGAAUAAAAGAUGUGUAAUUUAGCAUGACGUUACCUAUAAAAGAGUAGGUACGAUGAAAAAAAUAUGUAAGUCAUCGAUUCGUCAUAACAACUUGGAAGAUAAGCAGGGUCGUUCACCUUGGUUUGGCAAUCGUUUGAACUUUGAUUCUAACUACUCAAUACAAGAUGGCGCUAAACUGCGAUGCAGGAUUUUUACAUAAUUCGAAACGGAAUCAAUAUUUAAAAUUAUUUUUAAAUAACUAAUUUCUUAGAUCAUAUAGAUAUGUUAUUUAUACCUUGUUGUCUAUUAUACUGUGUUAAAUAAAUUUUAUUUUUAGUGAUGAUAAAUAAUAAUUUUUUGCUUGUAAACCAAUUGCUUGAAAAUGAAAUGUAUUACAUGACAAGCUACUUAUAUACCUAUUGUUAAAUGGUGAUAAACUAAAAAAAGAUAAACCUGGCUGAGAUUGUUGUGGGCUUUUCUCGGACCAAGAACCCUUUGGAACCCUCGUAACUUUAAUUUUAAGUUUUCGAAUAAUUAUUAUCACCAUUAUCUUAAGUUUAAUAUUACCUGACGUUUCGAAAGAGCUUGUAAACUAGCCUACUUGAAAUAAAUGAAUUUUGAGCUUAACGUGCUCUCUGAGGCCAGGCUUUGUAAAUUUUAAUAGUAGGUACCUUAUUUGGAAGAAAGGUCAAUUUUUCAUAGAUCAACCCAAUACUCGAUCUUAGGACCUCGCAAUUCAAAGCCACAUAUGUUAACCACUGCACCUACUAGGCAAUAUUUGCCUAAAUAUUUUUCUUGAAGCUGUGCGUUAAAGUGUGAAUAAUUUUAGUCAAGCAGUUGAAUUAACUGAUAAUACCUCAUCAUCAUCAUUAUUAUCAGGACUAUUACUGGACAUAGGCCUCUUUCAUGGACUUCCAAGCACAUCGGUCUCGAGCCGCCAGCAUCCAGCGGCUCCCUGCAACCCACUUGAUGUCUUCGCUCCACCUGUGGGGGGUCGACCAACACUGCGCUUUCCGGUGCGGGGUCGCCAUACCUCACGUCAACGAUAUUUUAUAAUACAGAUAUGUUACGUGCCUACAAAAUCACCGCAAAAAGUAAUCCGAUAGCUACUCCACUUAGUGCAAACAUGCAAUACAAUGCAAAACAAUUUUGUUUUUACUUACAUUAUAUAUUUAAGUAUAUAUAUAUAUAGUUUUUACCAGUUGUGUGCAUUAAAAAAAAAAAAAAAUUAAAUUUCACGUGUCUCAAACGGUGAUGGAAAACAUCGUAAGGAAACCUGCAUAUCAGAGAAUUUUCUUAAUUCUCUGCGUGUGUGAAGUCUGCCAAUCCGCAUUGGGCCAGCGUGGUGGACUAUUGGCCUAACCCUUCUCAUUCUGAGAGGAGACUCGAGCUCAGCAGUGAGCCGAAUAUGGGUUGACAGGUAUAGUUUUUACGCUUCCUGAACGCACAACUCGACAUUGUAAACAUUAUUUAGGUACUGGCGGACGCCCGCGACUUCGUCCACAUGGCAAUCAGUUUUUUUACAAAUUCCGCGGGAACCAUUUUUCCGGGAAGAAAAGCCUAUGUGGUAAUUCAGAGUAAAAUCUAUUUUCGUUCCACAUUUCAGCCAAAUCGCUUCAGUAGCCGCAGCGUAAAAGAGGAACAAACCUACUUACUCACAAACUUUCGCCUUUAUAAUAUUAGUGUGAUGUGAUUGUUUGCUUAUAUAACUUUUGUUGUUUAAUAAACGACUAAAUGAGAUUAAUACAAUUAUGCACAUUUGUCCGCCGUUUUGAUGUGCUAGUGCCCUAUCUCUAGUGUAAACUAUCGUUGCAGCGCAUGGCCAAUUUUGUCAAUCCGCAAAUUUUCUUACCUCUUUCCAUUCUACUAAUAAAGGUCGUUGAUCCACAUACCAGUACACUUAAGUUCAACAUUUGGUUCCAACAAUAGGAAAACAACAAAGCGAGUAAGCUGUGUAAAUACCAAGCUACCUAUUGUUAUAAUUAAACAAAUAAAUAAUUACAACUAAUAACGAUUUGUUCGAGGCCCGUUUAAAAAUAGUUUGCCAAGGUGCGUAAUCAGGACGCGGUUCGUUGACCUUGUGAGUGACCUUUAGUUACGCUUUCCAUCGCUAGAUGGCGAGUUUCACCUUCCUUAUAAUUGCUUCAUCAUCAGCCUUUUCAAUGGCUUUCCGCAAGUUCAACCUUCAUCGUUAUAGAAGAAGUAAUCUGGAGCCUAGACCCACCACGCUGCUUCAAUGCAGGUUUGUGGGCGAUUCUGUAACGAUCGCAAUCAGAAUACCAUUAAGGUAAUGUCUGGGACCGACGUACGAAUUUCUCUGUGCACGAAGGUAUAACAUUUAACUUCCCAACUCCAGGGUGGUAUUUAAUCAAGGUGGUCCUAUGAUAGAUCUGUCAGUCUCAUACAUUUGUCUAAUUUUCGAAGUGUUAACGUUUGUAGAAAGAAAAUCGACUUACCACAUGGCUACAGACCCUGUAGUUCUGAAAUGUACGUCCAAAAAAAUAUUAUUAAUUAUUAUCUAAUAUAACCUUUCGACCAAAUUGUUUUACUUAAAUAUCGCUAUCGCUAUCGACUUUCCAUACAAACUUUCAACCCCUGUUUCACCCGCUUCUCUUUUCUAUUUUUUGAUAAAAAGUAGCCUAUGAUCUCCUCCAAGGUCCCAUUAAUAAGUAAUAAAUCCCAAAAAUAAAGCAUUAUUCAUGGUUUUUAGACAUCCAACUAACCUACAAUCUAGUACGGAAAAUUGAAAACAAUUUUCUUCAUAAUAUUUUUCUUACAAGGGUCCAAUAACCUACACAUCGGAGCAAUGCACUCAGCAAUCCUGUUCGAACAUACAACGUCAUCUAGCGACAUUAUAUGAACUAUUUUUUCGAAAUAAAUAAAAUGGUAAUAAACAUAAUAAUGAAAUUCAAAAACGGCUCCUUUUAUAGUAACAAUUACAGACCCCCCCCCCCGGGGGUCCUUUAUAGUUCCCAUUCCCGUAGGAAUAAGAUGAUAAAAUAUAGCCUAUGUUACUCUCUGAUAAUAUAGCUUUUCAGUCGUGAAAUUAUUUUAGUCCGAGGUUUUUGACGACCUCCGUUGCACAGUGGUAUGCGCGGUGGAUUUAUAAAAUUGAGGUCCUGGGUUCGAUCCCCAGCUGGUCUGAUUGAGAAUUUCUUAAUUAGUCCAGGUCUAGCUGGUGGGAGGUUUCGGAUGUGGCUAGUUACCACCCUACCGGCAAAGACGUACCGCCAAGCGAUUUAGCUUUCCGGUACGAUGUCGUGUUGAAACCGACAAGGAAUGUGGAUUUUCAUUUCAUUUCACGGCCUGAAUCUUGUGGCCUGUUGUUUCAAUCUCACAAUAGGUCACAAGAUAUAGGCCGUAUCACUAGUUAGUGCCUAUAAUUAAUUAGGCACUAUAAAAUUAGAAUUGGAUUUUAUUUAGCGCAGUAAUAAAUCCUUUACGAGGUCAUGACUUCGAUUUUGUUAUGAGGAAAUUUAACUGACUAAACCUCAACGAUCCAGUGGUUUUUCUAAUCAUGAUACCUUAGGUUUAAAUCCUGGUAUGCGUUAUGAAAUAGUCAGUGUAUAUAUAUAUAUAUGUACAAAAAAGAAAGGACAUUUUCUAGCCCACUUUUCAGCACGAUAUAGAAAUGAAAAAAGUACUGAAAUUCUUGUACAUUUCACUAUAUUACUCCAUUAGAGUCUUAGCCGAAAUAAUAUUCGCUUACAGGGAAAAUAAGCUGAUUUCAUUAUUUUCACACCGAUCGCAGUUUUUUAUAUAUGCUCUUUGAUGCAUAUUUCACUGAUUGUCAGUUGUCUUUGCAAACGCGCGCUGUCAAUGGCAACGUGAAUCAAUUAUUAGGAUGUAAUUGUCAAAUACCAUAGUUUGAUUCAUUUGACAUAUCAUUACUGUCAAAUCCUUAUUUAAGCAAUAAAUUUUGUCAAAAGGAUACAAAUAAUUGCCCACCUGUAACAAGUAAUUAAACUGAUUAGGCAAAUUUAGAUUUCUAUGGAAAUUAUCCUCGUAAGUUCUCCUUAAUUGUCCUGAUUUGUGGCCAAUUUUCAGCCCUGUAUCAUUUUUAUAAUUUGAGCCCGCAUUUGUAUGGAGGGCUGGGUUUUUUCUUUUCCAUUUUGUACUAUUUGUACGUAUAGUGUCUAUCUGAGUUCAGAACUUUGUGCACACCACUGUCAUGCAGCCCUUUCACCCAUGGAUCCGGGUAUUAUCAAUAACAUCUAAUAGUGAUUAUUCAGAGUAAAACUAUAUCACGCAAACCCACAUUGAAGUAACGUGGUUGGUCUAAUCUCCAUAUCUGUUUAGUUAUGUAGGCCUGGUACUAUAGUGAGUCGUUGAAUGAGCUAAUAAUGGUGAUGAAUGAUGGAGGAAACAAAGUCUUCAUUGCAGAAGUCAACCCUUUAAAAAAAUAUUAAUAUUUUCGUUAGGUAAACAUAUUACGCAACAAAAAACUUAAAAAAAAAACAAAAAACUUGAAAAGCCUCACUGACCAAAUAAUUGUCUACCACUUAGAAUAAAACUACAGCUAGCUAAUUUUCAGUGGAAGUCUUUUAAUGGGAUCAUCAUCAUCAUCAUCAUAUCAGCCGAUGGACGUCCACUGCAGGACAUAUGCCUUUUGUAAGGACUUCCAAACAUCACGAUACUGAGCCACCUGCAUCCCUGCAACUCCCUGCAACUCGCUUGAUGUCGUCAAUCCACCUGGUUGGGGGUCGGCCAACACUGCGCUUACUAGUGCGGGGUCGCCAUUCGAGCACUUUGGGACCCCAACGUCCAUCACUAUGUGCCCCGCCCAUUGCCACUUCAGCUUCGCAACUCGUUGAGCUAUGUCGGUGACUUUGGUUCUUCUGCGGAUCUCCUCAUUUCUGAUUCGAUCACGCAGAAAUACUCCUAACAUAGCUAGUUUAAUGGGAUAGCGAGUCUUUAUAAUCAGCCUCAAAAUACCGAGUCUCUUUAAUCACUACUUUAAACUUACAAUGCGGUUAAACGUGCUGGUAUAAUGCAAGUAGGUACAACUUGCCUCUGAAUCAAUUUCUCGGUAAUGAUGAUAAUUGUAAUAUUAUUAUUAAUUUAUAAACAUUGUUUCACAAUAGUUUUUUAGGUCAUUGCACCGGUUCGUGAGUAAUUAGAGGUAACACACACAUACCUCAAUUAAACCUCCAGUAGAUGUGCCGACGUGUGACUGACUCAUUCCAAUUACUCCAGCUACCGAUUAAACAAACUUGUGUUUGAUUCACUGAAUUUCCGACAAAAGGACUCGUCCUUUUUUUUGAUUUUCAAAAAAGGAGGUUCUCAAUUCGUCUGUAUGUUUUUUUUAGUAUAAACGUUUCAAAUCACAAAUUCUAUUGUUUCACUUCAACGAUGGAUCAUCUCCAAUAAUUUCUUGCAAUUAAGUAAAUGUUGCCAUGUUUUAUGUAUUUGGGUUUCUAUUAAAAUUAUUAUCCACAGGUGUAGUAAUACUUAUCAAAAUUAAGAAACUUCCACUUUCAUUCUUUUAUAUAGACGAUAGUUUUUUAUUUCGACAAAAUAUGUAUUUUAGUACAGUAUACUUACUUACUAAUGUAAAACAAAAGGAUUGCUAAAUUAAAAGUACUUCAAUUUAGUCAAAUUCACGUCUUAUAUGCAUAACUUGAUAUGGAUUACAUUUUUAAUUGUUAUUUUUGAUUGCACUAAUUUUUAAAGAGCUGAGAAUUCCAAUAUAAUUAUAGCAGUCACUCUGACUGCUUUAAACUAUUGUAUUGAAAUACUAAGUUGGUAUGUCUGUAGAAGGUUUUAUAAAUGCAUUUGACAGUUCAACGACCCAACCCUUAUCGCAAAGGGUCUGACAAAAUAUUUAUUUCCAAUUAACUAUCAGUAAUUUCUAUUUAAUUGUCCAAUUUAUUUUGUUUCAUGCUGUUGGCCAUAUGGCGAUACAAAUUUCAAUGUUAUUAAGGAAACGAAGUAGAUACCUACCUAGCAUAAUUCAAAUCCCUAUAGACUUCUACACUAAUAUCGUAAAGAGGUAAAAUUGGUAGUGAUGUAGGGGGUAAUUUUAGGAUCUGCUAAGAAGCCACGUUAUUUGUGAGUAACAUAGGCUAUAUUUUAUCACGAGAACGGUAACUACGUGGGGGAAACAGCGUAGUUUACUUUAACGGUUAUUAACUUAUUAGGUAUAGGUCAUAUUAUUCCUUUUGCUUGUUCUAUUAAGUAAGUAUUAGUAUAAAAAAUCAAAAAAUGAACUGAUUUAAGUUACCUAUGGUGGUUACUUAAAUCAGUUCAUUUUUUGAUUUCUUCACAAUCCUACUUAUGUUAUAAACGUUUGUAUGGAUUUGGAUGUAUGUUUGGAAGUUUGUUACUCUUUGAAGCUGCAACUACUUAACCGAUUUGGCUGAAAUUUGAAAUGGAAAUAGAUUUUACUCUGGAUUGAUAUUUGAUACAUACUACUUUUUAUCGCAAAAAAUCCUUGGGUUCACGAGAUUUACGAAUACCUUAUGAUUUUGAUAGUAUGAAUAUUUGUUACUCUUUCACGCCUCGGCCACUGAACCGAAUCGCCUGAAAUUUGAAGUAGAGAUAGAUUGUAGUCUGAUUAACACAUAGGCUACUUUUUAUCUCGAAAUCCAUGGAUACCAAGGGAUUUGUGAAAAAGUAAAUUCUACGCGGACGAAGUCGCGGGCGUCCGCUAGUAUAAGACCAGGUACUUACCUAAUUAAUAUAAUAUAGAUGUACAAAAGUACUAUUUAAUUGUAUAAUAUUUAAGUGACGUCGCGUCGUACACAAUUGAUUUUUAAACUGGAAUCGAACCCAGAACGUUGGUCGUGGGUUUAGACAGACACGUCAUUUGGGAAUUUCCCACUAACUAUAUUGUACAAGUGAGCCGUGAUAGCCCAGUGGAUAUGACCUCUGCCUCCGAUUCCGGAGGGUGUGGGUUCGAAACCGGUCCGGGGCAUGCACCUCCAACUUUUCAGUUGUGUGCAUUUUAAGAAAUUAAAUAUCACGUGUCUUAAUCGGUGAAGGAAAACAUCGUGAGGAAACCUGCAUACCAGAGAAUUAUCAUAAUUCUCUGCGUGUGUGAAGUCUGCCAAUCCGCAUUGGGCCAGCGUGGUGGACUAUUGGCCUUACCCCUCUCAGUCUGAGAGGAGACUCGAGCUCUGCAGUGAGCCGAAUAUGGGUUGAUGACGACGAUAUUGUACAACCUCUCAUUCAAUGACUCAAAUAUCGGGAAUCCAAGCGAAAUCUCAAAUAAAAAAAAACACUUUCCUUUAAACAAAGUCGGUAAAAAUCUAAUUGAUUAAUAAUAAAUAGACAAUGAAAAUACCUAGCAGUCUUAUCUAAGCCUGUCUAUCACGUGUUACAUAUAUCUCGCUCUAACACGUAUAAUGUUAAAUAUACACCAUCCCGCUCGCACGGUAUAAAUAUACAGCCGGCGGCCAGGGCGUUGACCCCCGAAAUUUUGUGUGGGGUUCAACGAACGACCGCGGCAAAGUUGACUGUACCCGAGUUACAUUGGUAUAGGUAUGAUUUUUGCUAUUUUGCAGUAAUUUUUUAGAUGGCGUGAUAUCACUGGCACCGAUAAACACAUUGAAUAGAAGCAGGCGUCAGUUUGUGGAAGUUCAUUAUGAAAAAAUUAUAAUUGAUGUAUUUCGCUUUUUUCCGCGUCGUUUUGCUAACAUUACCUAAGUCAAUCUCUCUUGAAGAUCCUCCGAGUAAAACGUAGCGGAUUUUUGUCAGGUAUAUUUAUUUUUUAAUUCUCAUAUUGUCAUUCUCAAACUAACUAUACUAGCGAGUUAGAGAAUGACACCCCCGUGCCUCGGAGAGAACUUUAUGCCGUUGAUUCAGUCAUCACCUAUCAUUAAGACCUAAGUAAUCGUUUCAAGAUAAACAUUAUCACCCUAGGCCAAUUUGCAUUGAAACAGCUCAAUAUGCUCAAUAUCCCCUCUUCUAUAAAGAGGGAGGCCUAGCCCUGUAAUAGGCUGAAAAAAAUAUGAUAAAAAAGAGUAGUAGAAACAUAGUUGGGGAUUAGGAAAUGUCGUCUUUAACAACCUCUGUUGAGCACGAGCCUCGUCUCAAAAUGACAGCGGUUAGGCUAAUAGUCCACCGUGCUGGCCCAAUGCGGAUUGGCAGACUUCACACACGUCACUUAAGAAAAUUCUCAGGUAUGCUGAUUUCUUCACGAUGUUUUUCCUUCGCCGUUUAAGACACGUGAUAUUUAAUUUCUUAAAAUGAACAUAACUGAAAGUUGUCCAUGCCCUGGACCAGAUUCGAACCUAUGCCCUUCCGCGGCAGAGGUCAUAUCCACUGGGCUAUCACGGCUCUAGGAAAUGUAAUACCUACAAAAGCGCCAUUCAGCGGGGGUCGGUACAUUUUUGGUAGGACAUUGACACUACAAAGUUGAUUGAACGAAAGUGACUUGUAUUUUCGUACUUGUUCAAUUUAAAGAGUACGUACUUAGUUACAUACGCACUUUAGUUAGUGAGCAAGGGGACGGAAUUUCCCAGGUUAUGUUCCCGGAAAAGUUAUAUUAUUUAUUUGACUAAGAAAAUACCAUUACUAAAUCAGUGUAAAAGUUAGGCAAGGUUAUAUUUUUGGGUGUUGUUUAUAUGACGUAGGUACAGAAUUGGUUUCCGUAUGUGAGGAUCUUUAAGUAUGUAACCCAUUAAUCCAAUUUGAAAUAUCAUGGUGGGCAAUGAUCGUUUCAAUCUUCUUACUUACUUUUAAAGUGAAUAGCUAAAUUUCCAACACCCACCUGACUAGCUCGAGAGCUCUAUGGUUAUGGGAUUCGGCACUGACAGGUCAUGGGUUCAAUCAGCCCGUUAUACUAUUGUCGUAUAAUCUCAUAGUACAAGCCUUUAUGAAUAACUAGCAAACGCCCGCGACUUCGUCCGCGUAGAUUCAGUUUUUCACAAAUUCCGGGAACUGUGGAUUUUUCCGAGAUGAAAAGUAGCCUAUGUGUUAAUGCAGAGUAAAAUCUAUUUCCAUUUCAAAUUUCAGCCAAAUCGUUUUAGUAACCGCAGAGUAAAAGAGGAACAAACAUACUUACACGUUUAGACACUUUCACACUUACACACACACAAACUUUUGCCUUUAUAAUAUUUGUGUGAUGUUAUGUGAUGGUGUGAUUGGUGGAGAAGGGGAAUGUUGAUCAUAUUUAAAAAAUUUGCAUUAUUUUUUUUAAAAGAAAAUCUCACUUAAGUGACGGUGUGGGCUUAUUUGGAAGAGGUGCAAGUUUUAACCUCAUGCCUUAAUACACAUUUUUCCGAAAUAUUUCACACCAAACAACCAAAUACCAUCGGACCUACGACAACCAAGCAUAGUAGUAUGGCGAGAAGGGGUCAAGCAACUUUGGUCAUAUUUUGGCACAUUCAACCCGAGUUCAAUGACCCUCUUACACAAUAUCGCGAAAAAAUCACAUUACUUACGAGUAUGUCUGUGAGUCCAAAGGUGUACUUUGACUGUUUGGAAAUCUCCAAUAAUGCUAACACUUCAUGUUACAACAAUCUACUCAGUGGUUUUACAGCAUGAGGUCACAAGUUCAGUUCCCGGCGAAAAACUUUACUAUAAGUUUCUUCCUUAGUUUCAACGAGUCGCAAGGCAAUAGGCCAGGGAAUUGGCAAUAGAGCUGAUUAUAUUAAGAUGCAUGGAUGAAAUUAAAUGUCUUCUGAAGGCAAUACAAACUGAUAUCAGUGAAACAAAAGACAGAGUAAAAAAUAGCGAAGAGAAUUUGUUACGAAAAAUAGACGAGAAGUUUGAUGACGUACAAUUGAAGUUACAAGCACUCGAACAUACAAUCCAAUCACAAGAAAAUCGACUAGACUGUCUUGAAAAACAAAUAAGAACUAGGAAUAUUCUGAUUUUUGGUGUAGAAGAAACAGAGCGAAGUUAUGAUGAAUUACUUAAAAUAAUACUACAUAUUUUGAACUAUAACAUGAAUGUAAAUUGCUCAGCUUUGGAGAUCGAGUAUAUGAGGAGGAAAGGUAAAAAAAUUGAUAAAAUAAGACCAAUUGUGAUAUCAUUUACAACACUCGGCAGGAAAAUCGAAAUUCUACGAAACAAAAAGUCGCUGAUCAACUCCAACUACUAUAUUAAAGAAGAUUACCCACCAAAAGUUUUGGCUAUAAGAAAAGAAUUGCAAGAAAAAGCUAAUGAAGAAAGAGACAAAGGAAAAAGAGUUUACAUCAAAUACGACAAACUAAUUAUACUUCCACAAAAAGUAAGCCAGGAACCAUUACAAUCACGCUACAAAAGAAACAUAUCAGUAACUCCACCAAGCAACCAGAAAAAACACCAAGAAAAAAAUCUUACACACUUACACAAGAAACAUACUCUUCAAUCUUAUUGGACUCCUAAACAAACGCUAAAUUCUUCGAGUAACGAAACCUUCCUUUCUCCAAAGCCAACAACCAGCUUCCAUACCGCAACAGAUCAAAAUGAAUAGCAGUUAAAACAAAAAAACCCUCUCCCUCCUCCAAUUCGAUUGGUCACCGAGGAGGAGUACGACCAAAACCCUCCAGUCAUAUCUUGUAAAGCGAUGAAGAACCCGUCCCAAACACUCUCUUUAAGAAUCUGUACAUACAAUGUAAGGUCACUUUCUUCCAUAGAAAGAUUCAUAGAACUUCAACAUGCAUUACAAAAAAUUCAGUUUGACAUAAUAGGCUUAGCAGAAGUACGGAGAGAAGGUUGCAGCAUAGAAGAACAUUCAAAUUUAAUUUUCUGCUAUAUUGGUAAAAUAGCCGGCCAAUAUGGAGUAGGGUUCAUAAUCAAUAAAAAAUAUAAAUCCAAUAUCGAUAGCUUUACUGGCUUCUCAGACAGAGUAGCAAUGCUGCAGCUUAACUUUAAUAACAUGACUAUCUCUAUCAUACAAGCCUAUGCUCCCACGGAAGAUUCGAGUGAAGAAGACAUCCUCAACUUUUACAAUACUCUAAAUAAAGCCUACGAAUUUGCAAACAAAAAUAUUAUAUUACUGGGUGAUUUCAACGCCAAAAUAGGGCAACCGAGAAAAAACGAAGGCAUUGUAAUGGGUAAUUUUGGCUACGGAUCAAGAAGCAAAAGGGGAGAACUCCUUAUAUCACAUGCCCUCGAACAUAAACUCUCUAUAGUUAACACGUUUUUUAACAAAAAAGUUCACCGUCGAUGGACCUGGAUUUCACCCGAUGGAAAGACAAAAAACGAAAUAGAUUUCAUUUUAACAAAUUUCGUAAAAUCAGUCUCAAAUUUAGAAGUGCUAAACAACUUUCAAUUUCCAUCAGAUCACAGACUAGUUAGAGCCACAUUCAUGAUCAAAAAUAAGAGAUUAUGCAGAAAAACAUUCAAAAAAUCUUUUAAAAUUCCACGUACUGAACACGAAGUCGAUGUUUAUCUAAAUAAUUUAACAAAACUCCUAAAUAAAUUGAAAGAUACUAUUUCCUCUGAACGAAACAUUAAUGUGCAGACCUUUUACGAUUCUCUAGAAGCUAUAAUAAAAACAAAUAUUGAGCCUCAAAUAUAUCCAGAUAAACAAAGAAGAAGCAUUUUAAGCGAGGAAACCAAAAAACUUAUCGAAAGGCGUUCAGAACUAUUAAAACGCAAACAUAAAGAUAGAGAAACGAAAAAAGAACUUAGUUAUCUAUUUAAAACUACGAAUAAAAAAAUAAGAAAGGAUUAUGAAAAUCACAGAAAAAAUGUUAUUGAAAAAAAUCUAACACAACACAGAAGUUACAAAAGAGCCAAACACGAAUUAAAAUCACAUAAAAAUUGGAUAACAGCCCUUAGCUCUGGCAACCAGAAACUGAAUAGUAGGUCAGAUUUGCUGGACUGCGCUACAAAAUUUUAUAAGGACUUAUACUCUAAACUACCCGAAGAACAAAAAAGCACUAUCGAAGAAACAGAUCACGAUGAAACAGAUGAAUUCACACCAAUAUGUGAAAUGGAAACACUUAAACAUAUUAAAAAUCUUAAAAUAGGUAAAAGUGCUGGACCAGACAACAUCCCAAAUGAAAUCAUAAAAAUUGCAGCGUUCUUACUAACUUCCCCAUUUACUUUAUUAUUUAAUACAAUCAUAGACACAGGACAAUUGCCAAAUCAAUGGACCACUUCAGAAAUCAUUCUUUUGUACAAAAAAGGCGACCCUCUACAAAUUUCAAACUAUCGACCAAUAAGUCUUCUUUCAAACAUCUACAAAUUAUUUACAUCAAUCCUCUUAAAUAGAAUUGGUCCACAAAUUGACAGCUUUCAACCAGUAGAACAGGCGGGGUUUAGAUCAGGAUUUAGCACAAUUGACCAUAUACAUGUAAUUGAACAGCUUAUCGAAAAAUAUAGGGAAUUCAACAAACCACUGUAUAUUGGCUUCAUAGAUUACACAAAAGCAUUCGAUAGUAUAUCCCACCAUUCGAUUUGGGAAGCCCUAAACAAUUGCAAUAUAAACAAAAAAUAUAUUAACAUAUUGAAAAAUGUCUACAUUAACAGUAAAAGCAGAAUUAAGUUAGAACAAUGCGGAGAUGAAAUAUAUAUUCGUAGAGGGGUAAGACAAGGUGAUCCAAUAUCACCAAAACUAUUUCUUGCAGUUUUAGCCAAUGUUUUCGACCAAUUAGACUGGACAAACGAGGGCAUUAAUAUUUCUGGCAAUUACCUGAGUCACCUCCGAUUUGCCGAUGACAUCGCACUCUUUGCAGAACAUAGUGGUAAACUCGAAAACAUGAUCAACACUCUGGAUUUAGAGAGCAGAAAAGUUGGACUCGAAAUGAAUAUAAAUAAAACCAAAAUAAUGACAAAUAGUUCAAAAAAUGCAAUUCUGUUAAAUAAUACAGUAUUAGAGUACGUUGAUUCGUAUAUAUAUCUUGGUAAACAAAUAUCAUUUAGUGUUACAAGUGCAGAAGAAGAAGUAGAGAGACGAAUUACUACUACGUGGAACAAAUACUGGGCGCACAGAGAAAUAAUGAAAGGAUCUUACCCACUAAAUCUAAAAAGAACUCUAUUUGAUACAUGUAUCCUCCCCUGUCUAACUUAUGCUUGCCAAACAUGGGUUCACACCAAAAAUAUAAGUAAUAAAAUCGUGACAUGUGAAAGGGCGAUGGAGAGGAGCUUACUGAACUUAAGAAAAAUUCAAAAGGUAAAAAGCAAAGACAUUAGACAGAAGACAAAACUAACUGACGCAUUAAAAUACGCCUUAAAACUGAAGUGGAAGUGGGCUGGACACGUCUCAAGACUAACAGACGAUCGAUGGACAUUAAGAACUACCGCGUGGCCUGGACCUGCGGGAAAAAGAAAAGUAGGCAGACCAAAGACCCGCUGGUGCGAUGAUAUCGUCCAAAUAGCAGGAAGGAACUGGCUCACUGACGCUAAGAAUAGAAGCGAGUGGUAUCGGCUGGAGGAGGCCUAUACCCAAUGAGGGGUCUUUACAUAGAAACAAGACUAACACUAAUUUACUAAAACUUACUCGUUUAACAGUUACGUUAACAUACUAAUAUAAAUAACAUAAUAAUAAAAAAAAAAAAAAAAAAAAAAAAAAAAAAAAAAAAAAAAAAAAAAAAAAAAUUGUUAAUGUUGUUAAAAAUUAUGUAAAACUUAUGUAAGGAUUAAUAAAGGCUUUGAAUUGAAUUGAAUAUUAAGAUGCUGGAAUGGCAACCUUAAACUGCAUCACGAUGUUGAUGGACUCCCCAUCUCUGGUUGGUGGGCCUAUAACAUCCGGUUAUGGUAUUUGGACGAUGUUACAGAAGGCCUAUGUCCAUCAGACGUAGUUAUCAACUGAUGGACGUCCUCUGCUGAACAUAGGCUUCUUGCAUGGAUUUCCAAAUAUAACGGUCUGGAGCCGCCAGCAUCCAGCGGCUUCCUGCAACUCGUAUGACGUUCAGUCCACCUAAUAGGAGUCGACCAACACUGAAGUAGCAAUGGGCAGACCACAUAGUUCAAAAAGCCGAAAGACGUUGGGGGUCCCAAAGUGCUGGAAUGGCGACCCCGUACUGGAAAGCGCAGUGUUAGUCGUUGCUAAUGAUUUAUGGAUAUUAUUCUUCUGACCAAUCUAACCACUAACCAGAAGAAAUUUUAGUCAAAUAGAAGGUACUUAUGCUAAAACAUAAUGCUAUCCUAUUAAUCAACUCUCAAACUGUAAUAGAGCAUGCAAUGGACUACUGGAGAGAUACCAAGCACAUAAUCCAUUGCUAUUGGUAAAAGGAAAAAUCCAACAAUGUCUUUAUCGGCUUUUUCCUGGAAAAGCUCUUUUCGAACUUUUCCCCAAUGUAAACUACCUCAGGGAUACAUUUGAGGGUGAAGGAAAAACACCAAGUAUUUUCUUAAUUCUCUAGGUGUGUGAGAUCUGCCAAUACUGGGCAGUGUGGUGGACUCGUGCUCAACAGUGAGCUGAAUAUGGGUUGUUUAUGAUGAUGAUGAAUCUGCUUCCUCUGUCACUGUAAAGAAAGUAUAUUAAGUCUGAUCCAGGCAUGAGGUGCCAGUGUAUGAGGCAUGCCCACAAUAGGUCAGUACUCAGUGAGCCGCUGGCCGGUGAUUGACCGCGAGUUCAACGCCCGACGCCCCAAAACACGAUACCUACGUAGUAACAACGCGCAAUAUUCCGUAUAUAUUUCGCCAUCUUGAGAGUAUUUUUUUCAUACGCCUGUAUGCGGAAAACUAACGUCUUCUUGAGGAUAUAAAUUCGAAUCUCAGGAUUCAUCAUCGUCAGCAUAUUUUAAGUUUUUGCAGAGCAAGGGCGUCUCCGUUAUUGGGAGGGGUAGAGCAUAGAUAGGGGUAUACGAAACAAAAACACAGAAAUAUUCGGCGAAAAAGAGAUCUCUGGGACAUAAUUAUGUAAUAAGGGAUGUUGACAGUUAGAUCUUUCUUGACGAAAUGAAAUAUUCAAAUACCGGCCAAGUGCGUGUCGUGCCACGCGCAGUGUAGGGUUCCGUGGAUUAAAUUUGCACUUUAAACCCUUAUUUGAUACAGAAAUCAUCGAUAAGACAUCCCACACCUAAGGAUAAAAAAAAUACAUCCUUACUUUGCAUGUAGGGAAGGAACCCAAUUUUUUUUUUCAAUUUUCUUUUUACCAUUAUAUACUUAUUUAUAGACGUAAUUAAUAUACAUACCUACCGAAUGUUAGCGACUAACUAAAUUACCAAUAUUUAUUUUUAUAGAUACUUUAGGAUUCGAUUGUAAUUUUACUUUGAAAGUCCAUACAAGAAUCUUAAAGAGUAGCAUGUGAAGUUUGCUGUUAAAGAUUGAGUCUUUAGUUUCUAAAAUGUUCCAAAUAUAACUUUCCACUAAAUUAGACGUGCUAAAAUUAAACAUACUCAAUACUCAUGCAGCUCACUAAAAUGUGGGAGCUAACUAAGCUUAUGAAGAUCUACUUUCUGGAAAGUUGACAGAGAUAGUUCCACAUGUUCGAGACCGUUGGACUCUGUCAACACAACUCUGUGGUUACGUUAGACAUCUAUAAGUUUAGACAAAAACGAUAUUGUAAAUCAGAAAUGAUUACAAGCACCAUACAGUUGAAAUAUACACAGUAAGUACCAUUUAAAGUCGAAAAAUGAGAAGGCCGUUGGACACUGUCGACACAAUACUAUUUAAUCUAAUUAUGUUGGACAUUUAUUUAUUUAUUUUUAUUUAUUUAUCCAACGUCAAAACCUAAAAGGACAUUCAAAUGUUACAGUGAUACAUUAAAUGUACAUUGUGCAUUGUACGUUAAUCGAUUUAAAUUCGACAAACGGAAAAGCCGUUGGAUUUUGAUGAGUGAUGACGUCAGAAUAUCUCCAACGUUGGACAUCCAGCGCCAACGAAAACGACUCUGCGUUAUGAAUCACAGAUGUUCAAAAAUAUAACCCAAAAAUACAUUUGAUUUACGAAUCUAUCUCACAACUAAAUAUAAAAAUAUUUUGUCGUUCUGUCAUUCUGUUUUCACAUUUACCUGACUAUAAAUUGUGUGAUUUUUUUACUAAAAAAAAAUAUUUUUUCUUUUAAUAAUUUCAAAGAAAACUUUGGCAUACCACCAAAGCAAUGUCAGACUCGAUCGCAAUUAUACGAUUAAAACGUCGUAAUUUUUGACGUCAGCCGGGAACCGAACCCGCCAAGGUCGUGGUGACGUAUGUCUAAAAGUAAAGUUUUUGUGACAGUUCUUUGACACGGUCGUCAACCUUUUAGGUCGCUCGAAAUAUGUCUAUUUUAUAAUGAUUUCACAUUGCCACUCCUCAUAAGUUUUGGUUGCCUGGUAGACCGCAUUUUUUAUUUUGGUUCUUUUUUUUUUUUUUUUAUUUUGUACAAGUUAGCCCUUGACUACAAUCUCACCUGAUGGUAAGUGAUGAUGCAGUCUAAGAUGGAAGCGGGCUAACUUGUUAGGAGGAGGAUGAAAAUCCACACUCCUUUCGGUUUCUACACGACAUCGUACCGGAACGCUAAAUCACUUGGCGGUACGUCUUUGUCGGUAGGGUGGUAACUAGCCACGGCCGAAGCCUCCCACCAGCCAGACCUGGACAAAUUAAGAAAACCUCAAUCAGCCCAGCCGGGGAUCGAACCCAGGACCUCCGUCUUGUAAGUCCACUGCGCAUACCACUGCGCCACGGAGGCCGUCAAACCACGCCGUGGUUCGUUUGAGAGAGAUCUCAAUUCUCACCUGAUGUUUAGUGACGGUUUGUUUAAAGCGUCACUAGAAAAUGUCUAAAGCUCUACCUUUUACUUCCUUACCUUUCAUCAUCAAAGAGAUCAGUAUCUUUCUUCAUUAAUCAUCAAUGAUAAGCGGCAUAGUUAUGGUUUAAUCAUACUACUAGGCAGACUUGACCAGACCAAUUUAAUAAUAAUAAAAAAAAAAUAGUUUAUUUCGUUAACAUCAAUCAGUAACAAAUAAUUAAAGGCUAGAGUCUUCUUUUAAGAGUUGUACACUCCUGUGACAGAAGACAUUUAAUGAAAACAAAUCAUCUAUUGAACCCCUCAGCCAUAAAAUAGAGAAUGCAUAAGUAAUGAAACUGAUUAAAGACAAAAUACUGUGAAUAUUUUAGAUUAUUAAGUUUUUAGGAUUCCGAUACUAUUACCGAGACUCCGCUGUCUGUCCGUCCGUCUGUCAGUAGGAUGUAUUUCAUGUACUGUUACAAUUAACUUAGACUGUUAAAACAUUUGAAUUUCUCACAGAUGAUGUAUAUCUGUUGUAGAUAUAACAAUAAAUACUAAAAAUCAGAAUAAAAUUAAUAUUUAAGGGGGCUCCAAUCGGACAUGAUAUUUUUUGUAGUUUUUAUAGGUACGGAAUACUUCAUGCGCGAGUCCGACUCGCACUUGGUCGAUAUUUUAUUUAUUUAAAAUUUAUGUUCUAUGCGUAAUAUUCAUAGAAAAUUAAUCUAAGAAAUACUUGUAAUAUUGAUUUUAUAACAGUUCCUUGACACUGGUCGUUUACCUUGUCGAGUACAGACUUGUGUAAUUAAUCGUAUUUGUAUAUUUAAUAUUUAUCAUAUUAUUCCUUAUAAGUUAUGCGGCCCUGGUACUUCAAUACAUAAUGUAAAUAAAGGCCUAAUAAAUACAAAUUCAUUAUAAAUAUACAAACUUUUUAAUAAGUUUGUAUUUAUUAUCUCAGAAUUAAUUUGAAAAUCGAAUCAUUCUUUUUCACAAUUUUGAAUCACGUGUUGCAAUACUGGUGAUUCCGAGUAUCGUCCCUCAUUUGGGGGGAGGUCAAUACACGACCUCAAGGCCGUUUCCCCCUUAAGGGUGAAUAGAUGGUGACGAGCUAGGAACUACAGUGACAUUCAUUUUAUUUAGAAUAGACAUGCUUGAACGGUCAUGUAUUAUUAUCGGUCAUGAUUGUAAACGUUUAAAUUGAUCGAGGUUCGGAUGGAUGUAUGGUUCUCUGACUGACUGACUCAGUUUUAAGGUGACUGCCUUACUGGUGGCUAAGAAAGUAUAGAGGUAGAUAAUGUUUUUUUAUAGGAAAUUAAAAGAAGUUGUCAAUAUUUUUAAAACUAUAUUAAAGAUUAUUAUAGUUCAUUAUUAUUAUUUUUUUUAAAAAGACACACCUAUUUACAAAUUACAGGUGGUCUGGAUCAGAAUAUUUUGUAUCGGCUAGCAGGUGGUUAAAUUUUAAAUGCUUCCGUAUUCCAUAAAGUACCAAUAAAAAUGUUAUUAAACGAGUAGACUUUUAAACACAAUAAAAAUAAAUUAGCCAUCUGUGUAAAACUUACAUAAUGAUAUUAAACUCGUAUGUCACUUUUAUAUAACACCUACCAUCUUUCCUCGUCAUGUGGCAAAUAAGGAAGUAUUACAAAUCUAUUAAAAAAAACAUAAAAAAGACUUUCUUUUUUAUGGAUUUUAAUUUUCAGCUACUCAUUGGUGCGGCAUUUUUAAUUUGUCUCUUUGUAAUUGAUAGCUAAAGUCCAAAUCCCUAAUAUAUAUUAUUAUGAUUUGAUAUGAUAGACAUGUAAAUAAAAACAAAAUACACCUACAUUAAACUUGUUGGUUUAAUUUUUCUAUUUAUUUAAGUAUAUUUCUUAGGUAUUUUUCAUUGUAAGAAUACAAAAAUCAUUCCAUACAUACUCCACGAAAGACUUAACGAAAAUUUAUGAAGACAGACAUGUAAAAGACCUUUUAAAAAAACAAUUAGUCACCUGCGGGCUGGGUGUGUGCGGCGGGCGUCGUGCGCGCGUUCAGCGAACUCUAUUGCGCAGUGGAGCAGUCGUUGAACCACCACGUGGGUAGGAACGCUUAUCGUGGCUUCCCGGUGCCAUUUUUGUUUCAUAACUCCCGCGCUUUUGCGCGUUCCUUUUUCGAAUUCUUCUCCAUGUAUUGACGUUCUUAUAGAUUGCCGCCAUGUUUUAUUUUGUGAUGUAUAUUUUGUUUUUGAUUCUUAAUUAUAAAAUGUUUGUUAGUCUGACUAAAACUAAAAAUGGAUCGGGUGAUUUCAGUAUAUUUUUUAAUUUGUUUUUAUUCAUAAUAUUUUUUCAUAACUCACGCGCUUAAGCGCAUUCCUUUUUCGAAUUCUUCUACUCGUAUUGACGUUCUUAUAGAUUGCCGCCAUAUUUUGUUUUGUGUAGGAGUUUAUUUCUGUAUUCCACUAUUAUUAUUAUUUAUUCAAUUUCUAAAAAUUGUUUGUUGAACUGGUUAAAACUAAACAACAACUCGAGCUAGUUGAUCUAUUUUGUACUAAUUUGAUCCUAAUACCAUUUUAAUUUCGUAACUCCCAAAUUCACGUUCCUGUUUCGAAAUCUUCUUCUUCUCGUCGUCUUGGACGUCUCCAUUAAUGUUUUUUUUCUUAUUACCAUGUUUUAUUUGAGUUUUUUUAAUUUUUAUUAUUAUUUAACUCUUGUAUAAAGAAUGUUAGUUAGUCUGUCUACGAGUCCAAAAUGGCUGGAGAGUUUAAUGUAUUUUUUAAUAUGUUUUUAUUUGCUGUUUUUCAUAACUCUUUUCUUUUUCGAAUUCUUCUCCUUGUAUUGACAUUCUUAUUGAUUGCCAACAUUUUGCUUAAAUUGGAACUUAUUUCUUUUUUAUUAUCAGCCUAUUUAAACGAACCUCUACAGGGUGUAGCUAGAGUUUGUCGACUUAGAGUACUUUUGACCUGGCCUUUAUUGAGAAUUUACUCCAGAAACGUUCAUUUGAGCCUUCCUCUUUCAAUAUUUUCAUGCUUUAUAAAUCCCAUUUCUCAUCAUCAUCAUCAUCGUCAUCGUCACCACCCAAUUAUCAGCCGAUGUACGUCCACUGCUGGAUAUACCCCUCUUGCAUGGACUUCCAAGCACAACGGUCUCAAGCCACCAGCAUCCAGCUUGAUGUCCUCGGUCCACCUAGUGUGAGGUCGACCAACACUGCGCUUUCCGGUGCGGGGUCGCCAUUCCAGCACAUUGGGACCCCAACGUCCAUCGGCUCUUUGAACUAUGUGGCCCACUUACUGUGUAAUAAGUGGUGACUGUGGGUAUGUGGGUAAAUCCCAUUCACCCACGCUUUAUUCCCUUUUUGAAAUCUCCUGUCAUUCUCUCUACGUGCCCAAACCAUUCAUAACAUACCUGUCUCGAUUUUAAUCGCUACAUUUUUAUUUGUGCCAUAACGUUCCCCAAACAUAUUUAAAUUUUAAUGAAAUAAUAGAGUGAAUGGAGUGUGACAAGACUAGUGUUAAAAAUAAGCUCCAAUUUUAAAAGGGAAACCGAAUAUAAGUUAAAAAUAGAAUUUAAGAUAAAUUAGUUAUAUUACGUUCGGUGACCCAGUUUCACUCAAUUCGAAAAUGGAAUGUUCAACUUUGAAGUGAAGGUCAGACGUCGGUUUAAAUUUUUUUUGUUCUUUAGUUUUCCGCUCUGGAUUCUAGUACUUUUAGAAAUUUCAGUGACAUUAACGUAAUUGAUUGUUUUUAAAUUUAAUAAAUAAAAAAUAAUAAUCAUCCAAUUUCAUAAAUUAUUAGAUAGUACUCGUUACAUUUAUGAAUAUUUUGAAGAUUCCAACCAUAAAAGUAAUAAAAUAGUAUAUAUAUAUAUAUAUAGUCAGUCGGGUCAUCAUUUUUUUUUGAGUAAAAGUGUUGCAAGCAUCUGGAAAGUCAAAGACUCGACUAAAUAAGCUGACAUAUUAUUAUUUUUACUCUUUGGAUGUUCAAUUUCAGAUUGCCUCAAUUAUUAUUAUUUUUUUCGGGUUAUAUAAUAUUUUUUCGUGUUAGGGUAGUAUGGGAGAGAUACAAGAUAGUUUUCAGGUUGCUUCAAAUUAACUAGCCAAAAAUGUCGACCAACUGUAGGACCAUUCCAUAUUUGAAUUAAAUAAGACAUCUGCUUUUUCAAUUAAUUAAAUUUAAAUCUAAUCUAAUCUAGUUGGUAGUAAAACGUUCCAUAUUCUAACGUUAAUUUGUAAAUGAGAAAUGUGCAAUGUGCAGUUGGUUCCCGUCAUAGGCUUAUAACUGUUAGUGAUGAAAGGAAUCGGGGAUCAAUAUCGUUAUCAGCCAGUCCUGUUCCAGUCUGUGUUAGAAUAGUAUGAAGUACAUGAUACAAGUUUUAAGCUUGCCUAGGAAACCCUAACCGACCAAUGUCGAGUAGCUCAUUGCCCAUUCCAUAUCAAUAAAACGUUCCAUGUUCAAACGUAAAUUUGUAAUGAUCCGAGUAAACGUUCCAUAUUCAAACGUAUAUAAAUGAGAGAUGUGCAAAGUGCAGUUGGUUCCCGUCAGAGGCGUGACGAGACGGAAACGUAUAACUGUCACUAAGGAAAGGAAUCGGCGAUCAAUAUCGUUAUCGCGGUUCGGCGGCCGGUCGGCGAACCCCCAAACCGGAGUUCAUCGCCUCUAGUUGCCGUUGCGGACGAGGGAUCCGCGACGUAGGUGAUUUUCUGCCGUCCCACCAACUUUUCACGCCUAUCAUCGUCGGCGGUGGCGUGCACAGAGUACUUAACUAGGGUAGGCAAUAUCCAUUAUACUUCCUUAGUAAAGGCUGGUAAAAAUUCCUUAGGGUAGGCAGAGCAUUUCUACAUAUAUGAAGUGCGUGCCACUUAUCGUCGGCAAGCAGUGUUUUCCGUUGAUGACCAAAUCGAAAUUAUUUAUCUGUUUUUGUUCUGUUGUUAUUCUUUUCUUGAUUCUUAUUUAACAAAACUAGUUGACGCUCGCGACUACAUCUGCAAGAACAUCGGUAACCUUUAGUCGCUUUUUAAACCACUUUAUAUCAGUUGUAGAACUUUUUGCGACAUAUUUCAUUUGGAAAAUAACAAAUAAACUAAAUAUAUUAAAACUAGCCGAUAUUAUUUCACCGCGUAAUUCCCGCGAUAGAGUAACAUAAAAAUUUUCGAAAACGAUUUAGUUGAUCCAAAGAUUGCCACAUAUAACACUACUAACUUUACCUCUCUAAAACAUUAAUACAGAUAAAAAUAAUGGUUGUCACAGAUUCAGCGAAGCUUGAAUUUUACUGUAUUUCAGAUGUCAAAUGAUCGUAUCUACUACAAUAGAUCUAGGGUACCCCUACGACCUCACAAACUCAUAACAACAAUAUGUUAUUUUGUUGUAAAUAUUUAUGGCUUUAAAACCUUUGCAUGAUUAAAAAAUUAAAAAAAUAUAAAGCAUUAUCGGUCAUAGUUCAUUCGAGGUUCAAACGUUAGGUUCAUAGUUCGAUGGACGCGACCCGCGACCGAUCGGAUUUGAAUUUCGAAUGUUCCCAAUUUAAACUUCCGAAUCCAUUCUAUUGUUUAUUCCAUUUUGUUUGCGGAACGGGCGCCAUCUUGCGAUUUUUGUGUCUGGAAUAAUAUUGGGUUCUUUUCAUUUUAAUAUAAAUAAAAAUUCGUUUGCUUCAAGUUUUUCAAUGCGACUUUUGAAGUCAAAUCUGUAUAUUUCUGAUUCCAUUGCUUGAACAGAGAACUUUGCAAGAAUUUACAUAGUCGUUGCGUUUUUCAACGAAACCAAACAUUUUUAAGGUACUUUUAAGGAACCUUCGUGAUGCGCAGCUAAAACUAAACCUACCUAAAUACCUAAAAAGCAGCUAAAAAGACAUUUUGACAAUAAUGUAAUGUAUAAAAUAAUAAUUUAAAACUCUACGCAACUAUCAACUCGUUUUUAGGACAAUUUCACUUUUUUCCACACGUAGCGUCUUAGAUAAUUAUGGCGUCGACCUUGCGUGACGUCACAUCCGUUCUUGCGGCCAUAGAUUAGGUAGAGUCAUGACGUUGUUUUUACAUACAACCUCAAAACCUCAAACCGUAACGCCACUUUAUGUAGGUACAUACAGCGUCCACGAUACGUCAAACCAGAGCCUCUAUAGUUCCAUGGUUCACGCGCUGAAUUCAAAUUUUAGAGGUUCGAGGUUCAAACCUACGACUAAGUAAAUGAAUAGCAUAACGCAUGCGUGUCGUGUGCAUGUGCUUGGUCCUAGUACGGAGUUUGGCGGGAAAAUCGUUUUACUUUAAAGUAGAAUGCAUUUUAUUCAAUAUAGUUCUAUAGCAACAGUGUUUCGAGCGAUUAAUUCGAUUUUCACGCUGGACUCUUCAUAGUUUUUGAUAAGGUUGCCUUUGCCUUACUAAAGCAUGACAUUACUUGACUUACCACUUUCGCCCUACAUAGAGCAAAUUAUUUGAUAAAGAAUUUAUUACCUCAUGACUGGCUGAAUGCUUAUACGAAGCCAUCUUGAAACAAAAAUACUAUUGUUGCAUCUAGCUUAUCGCUGAAUUUAAACACAAAGAUUUUUUUAAAAUAUCAAUGCGUUUUUUUCUACCUUAUUUUAUUUAGUUUUAAUCAAAGCUAUUUUAAAAAUAAUAUAUAUUUUGACUAAUUUGUCCGGAAAUGGAAAGCUCGAACGCGGGCGAUUGAUCUCUCCGCAAUGGCGGUGACCUUGCGUGACGUCACAUCCCUUCUGGCGUCGGGUUAUUGAUUUUUCUCGCAUAUGACCAAAUUGUGGAGUUUAAUGACUUCAACACCGCCUUGUAGCUUCUCUGAAUAAUACCCUAAACCCUUACCAUUAUGUAGUAUCCGGGUUCGAUUUCCAUGUCAGGUUAAUUCGUGAUUUUUUAAUUAGUUGAUUGCCUCAAUUGUUCGUAUUUAUACGUUUUUCAUAGUUUCGAUACCUGUUAAUUUCUAAUGUAAGGUAAUAAAACAGGAUUGAUACCUGGUUUGGGUCCUUUUGGGAAUUUAUAUAACAAUUCCGCUUAUUAUACGUAGGUACUUACCUACUCAUCGAAUUGUUCUCACAUUAUUUUAGAUAUAGGUGAUAGCAUAAACAUGUGUGAGUGUGUUAAUAAUAAGAAUGUCAGCACAAAAAAAACAAUUAAACAAAAAUUAAAGUAUGUACAGGGGAAGACGUGUGACAUCGAAGCCCUUUUAGGCCCCAGAACUUGUGACCUUGGUUUAAGGGUUCCUUUCAGAAUGCAUAAACAAUCUCCUUCCCUGCCCGACAUGUUCUCCGUGCCCACACUAAGCAAUUUAAGAUCAACAAUUACAAUGCCAAUCAUUAUUGAUAAUUACAACACAAAAAAAUAUUAAUGAUUACAACAAAACAUUAUUGCACAAAAUCUCUAACGCGACUGGCAGCAUGACAGUGUCCACGCUGCCUAACAAACAACUGAGCUCAAGUCAUCAAAUAGCUUCUUUUUUUAACCAACACUGAUACCUCCCUUCCAUAAAUUAUGAAACAUAAAUAAUGAAUAUAAAUAUAACACCCGUAAUAGAGGAAUUUGAAACACUAGGGUAUGCAGUGCGUUAAUGUAUAUAAGAAGAGCACCCCAGUAAUACUACUGCUGAUAAGAUUAAAAUAUAUCAAAAAUAUUUUUAAAUUCAAAACAAAACAUUUUCACACUAUCUAACAAAAAUACAGAAGAAAAAAUCUGUCUAAUCUAUGAUCAGAUAUUAUAAGACUGUUAUCUAUUGAUUAUAAUAUUAACAUAAAGGUAAGCAUAAUAUGUGUGGUCUUUGGUACAAAAUUUCUACUGGCAUGCAGUGAUUAUGCAUUUAUGCUCUAGGAUGGCUUUGCUCUAUCGUCUAUGGACAGACUAUAGACACUAGACGCUCACGCGGUUCAUUAAAAAUUGUGACAACUUGUUCGUAACUAAUUUUCCGGGGUCAACGACCGCGCAGGACAACACUGCAUUAACUGACGUAACUGAAAACGUAUAAUAGAAUAAAAUUAAUUAAAAAAUAUAUGAGAAGACAUUUUUCAUUAUUUUAUAAUUUCAAUAAAAAAUUUCUUUGUUUUUGAUGAAUAUUUUUCUAUUCGAUUUGUAAAUUAUCAUUUUCUUUUUUUCUAUAAUUAAUUAAUUUCACAGUCAUCUCUCGCUCUUUUGUACCAACUUGUCUUGAGCGUCCAGCAGUUAUUUAAAGAAACAUAGCAAAUUUUGGCGAGGGUCCUAGAAGUAUCUAGAGUUUAGGUACCUAGUAAGAACUUUGAGGGAAAGAGGAUUAUUACAGGUACUCGUAGGUACGUGUACCUACACAGUACCUGUGUACGUAUAGUCUUAGGUACGUACCGUCGUAGGUACGGAUGAAAACGCUCACCGUCAUUUCCUUCUGGAGCAGUUUAAAUAAACCUUCGAAACCGGUUUGAAUUUCACAAAAAUAUCUACACUGUAAUCAGUAAGUACCUGCCUGCCUAAUAAAAAUACUCAUUUAAAACAUCUUUAUUUUAAGAAGUCGGUUUACUCGAAACAUAUCGAAAUUUUUCAAAUUUCGAAUCAGCAAAAAAGAAAUGCAGCCUCAGAUUCCACAUUCAAAAUAGAGUUCAAUAGCAUUUCACCGAAAUCUACUUUGUUUGGGUCCCGGGGUCAACGACACUGUGUGACGCCGGCGCGUCUGUGUGCGCACGCCGCGUCCGCACGCCACGCACACAUCGAUACCGCGUACAUGACACCGACCGGCUAGGCCAUUUUAUAUCUUAAUUACUCACAGCCCUGCAAAUAUUUCCCUAGGCCUAAACGCUGUUUUCGGACCUUUAUUGCCUAAUCUUUAACGUGGUAGAGGAAGAUUUCCGUUUAUUCGUCAGUUUGACGAGUUUUCGCUUGUCUCUGUAAGCGGUCGGGGCGAUUGAACUACGAGGUAUCGCUAGCUAAGUUGAUUAUUCGACUCAGAAAAAAAUAUAUAAUUUUUCGGUGAGCCCGGGCCGAAGAUUCGUCAAUGCGUCAGUCAGUCACCGGCCGCCCUGGCGUCGACAUCUCAAGACCAGCCAGUCCCAGUCGCGUAGUCGAGUUGUGAACAACCUAUAGUACAAAAAACACGUACAAAUUUUUCCUUUACAGAGAAGUGAGUGCGCGUUCGUCCACUCGAUUAAAAUACAAUAAUAAAUUAAUGUGAUUUUAGAUAAUUGAACGCGGUUCGAUUAGAUAAAAUCUGUCUUCGAUUUUCAAAUAAAUUAGUGUCUAGAAUUUUGAGCCUGUUUAAAAUUCUCUUAAACUCCUCUUUCUGCUUCGGUUUUCUUUUUACAGAUUUUAUUAUUUUUCUGUGUUCGGUAAUCUAAAACCACAGUAUACGGGAACAAGUGUUUAAAUAAAAAUUAUUAUUAAAAAAAAUACAAUAAACAAAUAGUGCCUUAAUAUAAUGUUUAUUUAAGAGUUUUACAAAAGGAGGAGGAAAAACAGAAACCACGGCGUCGACAAAAUGCCAAAAAACUUGUUACUUUUCAAAAAGUUAAUACCAGAAUUAAACUUCGCGAAAAGAAAUCUUACUUCGCCGUUAGGCCGGAACAUAUAUAUCAGUUAAAAAAAACCAACAGUGGUGCUUUCAACAUAGUUGAGAAACAAAUACAACAUCAAGAAAAGACACGCAGUAGAGUGCCAUAAAGGUAUUUUCGAAGAAAAAUUGCUUAUGGUUAAAGAAGUUGCCUUAACCGACCAAGUCGUUUAAAAUUAUUAAAAAAAAAAACAAA